UUUUGAGCUCAAAUAAUCCUUUUCUUCUAGCCUAUUUUGUAAAGCUUCCAAUUUACUCCUAAUUCACGAACGGGCAAUCUUUACGACUCAAUUCAAAAAUGAGGCGAGGGCGUAUCAAGUUGGUAUCAGAGCUAGUUGAAUUAGAGUAAGAAUCGUUGUAAUCGGUAUUACGAGAUUGUAAAAAAAAUCAAAAAAAAUCGAAAAAAAAAUCUUAUUAUUAUUUUGUGUUCAAAGCUUUCUAUUGUAUUUAACAAAGUGUAAAAAAAAUAUUCGAAAUAAAAAAACGAUUGAAAUUCAUUUUAAGUUAGCAAAAGCCUAGCUUGCUGCCCGAAGAACCACAUCUAUACAGCCACACUAAUUUCCUUCUAUUUUCUUUGUUUGU
rnacentral:lncRNA from 1 species